CAGUUUCUAUAUAUUGACUGUUGGAAACUGAUUGUUGAAAAACUGCCUUGGUGAGUUAAACUGUGUCAUAUGAGAAACAAUGUAGCCACAUGGUGGUCAGAACUAAGGACUUAAUUACAACUGCUUUGGACAUCCCCUCCCCCCUUGCAUCUGAUUACCAACCCCCCUAUUCAUCCUCCAGAGCCAGAGUAGCCCUUCCCCCACUCUUCCUCCCAAAACUGGUAUAGAAACAUAGAAUGUGACGGCAGAUAAGAACCAUUCGGCCCAUCUAGUCUGCCCAAUUUUCUAAAUACUUUCAUUAGUC